UAUCUGUCAGUCUGACAGCUGAUUGGCUGCUCGGAGAUGCAUAUAAUUACCAGCAACUGGCGCUGGGUAGGCAAAGCCCGGAGAAACUGCUGAGAUGAGGGCUGAUUGAGUUUCCUUCCAAGAUGGCAGCUGAUUUCCACCAGAUUGAGCAGUGUAAAAAAACCUUUAUGGCCAUGCCUUGGACAGCACAUCAGUCGUUUCCUCACACUGUAUUGGUUCCCAACCAGCCCUACUCAUUGUGGAAGGGGACAAUACAGCCUGUAAAUGCCUGAAGGCAGGAAUCGUUUGGAGACCAUCUUGGAGGUUGGUGACCAUGGCAACCAUCACUUCUGCACAAAGAGAGGCGUUUUCCCCUGAAGGCUCCACACACAGACUUCACACUGGCCUACGUUUGCUCUCCCAACCCAGACAAGGGAGGAGACAGCACUGACCAUAGACACUGGGUCCUGUAGCCUGGACUGGACCACAAGGACAUUUGGAAACAGCAGAAGGACCUGGAGGGAAGGGCCAAAGGUUUCAUUCCUCCUCUCAGACACUUGAGUUUGUGGCAGAGGAUACAGUGGCCUGCUCACCUUCCCUUGGCCACACUGACUUCCUCAGGAAGAGGAAGACCUGCCAGUCUGGGUCUCCACCCAUCUGACCUCAUCGGCUUCCUGGAGGAACCUGGUUCAGAGAGGAGGAUCCAAACCCGCUCUGACAGAGGUGUGAGGAAGAUUUGUGGUGUGCUGGCUCAAGGGGACUCCUGCAGCCUUGCGUUGAUGCCUUGGAGACAUGCCAUCAAGGAGCAGCAGACCAGGUCAUCUGCAUUUUCUAGUCAUCAUUGGUACCCAAAGAAAGCCUCAGGGGUUGGGGAAUGUGACCCAAGUGGUAGAGUACUUGUCUAGCAUGCACACAGACCUGGCACUGAUCCUCAGCACCACAUAACCCAGACUUGGUGGUGCAUGCCUAUAACCCCACACUUGGAGGUGGAGGCAGGAGGGUCGGAAGUUCAAGGUCAUCCUUUGCUACAUAGUGAGUUUGAGGCCACUCUUAGAACAAGCCUCAAGUGGCACUGACAGUGGUGAAGAGCAGGAAGAGGGAGGGAGUUGGGGGAGACUAGAGCCAUGGCUCAGUCUGGAAAGUGCUGGCCCUGCAAACAUGGGAAUCGACUCUGGAUCCCCAGAGCUUGGGAAAGUGGGACAGCUUUAGUGGCACAUAGCUCUGAGCAGCUGGAGACAGAAGGACACUGGCGCUUGGACAGCCAGCCUAGGCCACCAUUGAGCUCCACUGUCAAUGAGAGAUGCUGCCUCAAAAAAUAAGAUGGAGAGUGAUUAAGAAGGACACCCAGGCUGGUCUCCUGCUUCACAUGUAAGCAGACAAACAUGCACACGAACCCCCAUGUGAUGGCAGGUCUUGGUUGUCAACUUGACUAUAUCUGGAAUUAACCAAAACCCAAAUGGCUGGGCACACCUGUGAGAGAUAUUUUUUUUCUUAAUUAAAGCAUUUGAACUGGGGAAAAUCCACUUUUAAUUUGGAUCUUUUAAAGUGGGAAGACCCACUUUUAAUCUGGGCCACACCUUGUGCUGGCAGCCUAAAUAAAGACAUGGAAGAAGGAAGCUCGCUCUCUCUGCCUGCUUGCCCUUGCUCUCCCUGGCAAGUCCAUUCCUUCACUGGAUUAGAGCCUACUUCUUUGGAAUUCUGCUGUGUACUGAAGACCAGCUGAGACAUCCAGUCUCGUGGACUGAACAACUACUGGAUUCUUGGACCUUCUCUUGGUAGACAGCCGUUGUUAGAAUAGUUGGACCACAGCCUGUAAGCCAUCCUAAUAAAUUUCUCUGUCUGUCUGUGUC